rfam:Chelonia mydas contig202065, whole genome shotgun sequence.
GUGUCCCACUGUCUUUUAUGGCUUUUUAUUCCUAUGUGAUUAUACUGCUCAUUUCAUAUAGGGAUUGAAGCCGUGCAAUACGCUGGGGCUG